CCACAAGGGGUGAAGCCUGCGGUUCAAUUGGAGUCAACGCCAGGAAACUUACCAGGAGAGACAGCAGGUUGAGGGUCAAGCUGAAGACUUUACCUGACGAGCUGAGAGGAGGUGCAUGGCCGUCGCCAGCUCGUGCCGUGAGGCGUCCUGUUAAGUCAGGCAACGAGCGAGACCCCUGUUGGUAAUUGCUAACAGUUCAGAGAUGGAUUGAGGCUAGUUACCAAGACUGCCGCUGCUAAAGCGGAGGAAGGAGGGGGCCACGGCAGGUCAGUAUGCCCCGAAACUCCUGGGCCACACGCGGGCUGCAAUGGUAAGGACAAUCGGUUCCGACCUCGAAAGAGGAAGGCAAUCCACAAACCUUACCCCAGUUGUGAUUGAGGGUUGAAACCCGCCCUCAUGAAUAUGGAAUCCCUAGUAACCGCGUGUCAUCACCGCGCGGUGAAUACGUCCCUGCUCCUUGU
rnacentral:rRNA from 1 species